rnacentral:tRNA from 1 species
GGUCUGUUCGUCUAGUGGUCUAGGACACCGCCCUUUCACGGCGGUAACAGGGGUUCAAAUCCCGUACAGAUCA